UACGUAGGGUGCAAGCGUUGUCCGGAAUUAUUGGGCGUAAAGAGCUCGUAGGCGGUUUGUCGCGUCGACUGUGAAAACCCGAGGCUUAACCUCGGGCCUGCAGUCGAUACGGGCAGACUAGAGUUCGGUAGGGGAGACUGGAAUUCCUGGUGUAGCGGUGAAAUGCGCAGAUAUCAGGAGGAACACCGGUGGCGAAGGCGGGUCUCUGGGCAUUAACUGACGCUGAGGAGCGAAAGCAUGGGGAGCGAACAGG
rnacentral:rRNA from 1 species